rnacentral:rRNA from 1 species
CCUACGGGUGGCAGCAGUAGGGAAUAUUGCUCAAUGGGGGAAACCCUGAAGCAGCAACGCCGCGUGGAGGAUGAAGGUUUUCGGAUUGUAAACUCCUUUUGUUAGAGAAGAUAAUGACGGUAUCUAACGAAUAAGCACCGGCUAACUCCGUGCCAGCAGCCGCGGUAAUACGGAGGGUGCAAGCGGUACUCGGAAUCACUGGGCGUAAAGAGCGCGGAGGCGGGAUAGCAAGGCAGAUGUGAAAUCCUAUGGCUUAACCAUAGAACUGCAUUUGAAACUGUUAUUCUAGAGUAUGGGAGAGGUAGGUGGAAUUCUUGGUGUAGGGGUAAAAUGCGUAGAGAUCAAGAGGAAUACUCAUUGCGAAGGCGACCUGCUAGAACAUAACUGACGCUGAUGCGCGAAAGCGUGGGGAGCAAACAGGAUUAGAUACCCUUGUAGUC